AGUGAACGCUGGCGGUAGGCCUAACACAUGCAAGUCGAACGGCAGCACAGUAGGAGCUUGCUCUUACGGGUGGCGAGUGGCGGACGGGUGAGGAAUACAUCGGAAUCUACUUUUUCGUGGGGGAUAACGUAGGGAAACUUACGCUAAUACCGCAUACGACCUACGGGUGAAAGCAGGGGAUCUUCGGACCUUGCGCGAUUGAAUGAGCCGAUGUCGGAUUAGCUAGUUGGCGGGGUAAAGGCCCACCAAGGCGACGAUCCGUAGCUGGUCUGAGAGGAUGAUCAGCCACACUGGAACUGAGACGCGGUCCAGACUCCUACGGGAGGCAGCAGUGGGGAAUAUUGGACAAUGGGCGCAAGCCUGAUCCAGCCAUACCGCGUGGGUGAAGAAGGCCUUCGGGUUGUAAAGCCCUUUUGUUGGGAAAGAAAAGCAGCAGGUUAAUACCCCGCUGUUCUGACGGUACCCAAAGAAUAAGCACCGGCUAACUUCGUG
rnacentral:rRNA from 1 species